UUUAGGUCAUAUGUGGAAGUGGGAAAGUAGCUGAGGAUUUUGGAGCAUAUCAUUAAGCACUUGAGCAAGAGGCUCAUUAAACAACACCUCAUCCCUCCUUGAUAGUAUUGGCUUUUCCUAUGGACUCAAUGUGAUCUUGGAUCACUAAAAUGUAAAAUGAAGAGUCUUGAGCUUUGAGCUUUAGCCAAUCCUUUGUCCUUAGCAUCUUGGAGAACUUCCCAUAGCCUUUAGUCCAUGCCACUCCAUUGUUGAACUUAUCUGAAACAUACUAGAUAGAAAUGUUAGUCCAACAAGAGAUAUGUUGUCAUCAAUUAUCAAAACCACCUAGGGAGCACUUGUGCUUUCAAUCUCCCCCUUUUUGGUAAUUCAUGGCAACAUACAUCAAAGCUUUAGAUAAAGAUAUAAAGAGCAGCAAGUAAAGCUUUGGAAGGACAUGUAACAAGCAUAGGCUCCCCCUACAUGUAUGCGCUCAUGUAAAUGUGAAAUAUAGAGGCAUGUGAGAGCAUAACCAUGACAGAGUAGGCAAUGUGUUACAUGUAUCUUGGCCAUAUGCAUGAGAGCAAAGGAUUAUCAUGGAAAAUACCUUCAUGUUCAUGAGUCCUUCUUGCAAACAGUAUGUACAUAAGCAAGAACUCCUCAUACUCAUGUUUUUGAUGCAUACACUUACCUUGUAGUCUUUGGUUGGCUUAGGAUGGAAUGAACCUGCACAAACAAAGUUAGAUAACACAGGUACAUCCACUAGCCAGAGCAACCACAAGAAACCACAAGAAUACCAAGACUGGGAUGACAUGUAGAGAGUAAGUACUAGGUACUACAUUGGAUUCAACAUGUCCCCAAGAGUAAAGAUAUGCAUCGAAUUUGACUGAUCUCUUUCCCUUAGGUGUCUUGCUCCCCCUGAAUCUUACAUGGGAUAUUGGGAGAAGAUAGGGAACAGAAAAACAGAGCUGAAAGAUACAAAUGAACAUGUCUUCUCCCCUUAAAAAGACAUGUGACAUCUCUCCUCUUGAACAUCAAUCAUCUGGGAUCCUUGAGUAUUUUCUCUCCCCCUGGAAAUCUCUUUCUCCCUUGUAGGUUUGGUCCUUGAGACUUUUUCUCCCCCUUGAUGUGAUCUCUCUUUCCUUCAAGCUUUGAUGUGAUCUCUCUCUCCCCCUUUGACAUCAAUUUCCAAGAAGGGCUUUCUGGAAUCUGUCGUAUAGGUUUGGUCCUUGAGACUCAGCACAAAGCAAUGGAUAAAACUGUGAUGCUUGCAGAGGACAAGAUUCAUUGAGUGGAGCUGGAUCAGAAGGAAAAUAGAAUAUGUGACAAACUGUUUUUCCUGUUGCUAAAUCGGUGGCACCGAGUGGUAUGUUUCGGUGGUACCGAAGGAAUUCGGUUGGACCGAAAAUUACAAUUCGGUGAGACCGAGUUCACACAGAGAAAGACACUUGUCACCUCAGCUCACUACACAUGUAGGAUCUCACAAAGAUUUGCAAUGAAUUACCUGAAGGAUUUGCAAGGAAUUAAAUGCAGAAAAUGCAAAACAAAACAAAACGAAGAGAGACUGAAAGAUCUAGAUGAAGUUGAAGGAAACAAAUAAACAAGCAUGAGACAAAUGCAGUAACACAGAAAAGAACACAAGAGAACUUCAUCUAGAGUUGGGCGGUGACAUAGUCACCUAUGUUAGAGUAUAUUGACUUAGGAGUCAAGUGAGAACACUUGAUCAUAGGUCAUACUCAUCGUUUAAGCUCAAAAUGGGGUUACCAUUUUUCGUUUAAGCAUCUUGAUGUGUUCACAUCUUGUUGAGUUGCUUUGACUCAUGUCUUGGAGUAAAGCUUCUUUAAGAUGGAAUAACAUACCUUGGGUGGUGGUGUGGUUCUUGCUCAUGUAGUUGAACUUGUGUGGAUGCUCAAGGUUGAUGUGGUUCAUCAAGGGUUGGGAGCACCACUUGGAGUUUGAGUUCAUCUUUCUACACGGGUUAGUUCUUGCAAGGAAGAGCACUUGUGUAUCCAAAAAUGACAAUCAUGGAGCUCAACAUAGAAUUUGUCAAAGGAUAUGUUUGAAUGGUUUUGGUAAGCUUCCUUGUCUUCAACCACCAUUGUGUAGAGACUUGGUGAUGUAGAGAUUGCUCAAGAUGUGAGUGAGUCGCAAUCUCAUGGAAUUAGGUUCAACCAAGCACCAACAUGGGUUAGAUAACAUGCAAGAUAAAUAUAUACAAGACAUAAGAUAGUCAUCAUAAGAGAUAUAUCAUGGAUUAGUCAUAAGCUCAUGUCUUGCAUGUAUCCAAUGGAGUUCCUACUCCAAGUUCGAAGCAUCAAUAAUGUUCAAUUCUCCUCUCAACCUGCAAAACACUUUCUCAUCAAGAGGUUUAGUAAAUAUAUCCGCUAAUUGCUUAUCGGUGCGAACAUGUUUAAGAUUAAUGUCACCCUUAGCAACAUGGUCUCGAAUGAAAUGAUGACGAACUUCAAUAUGCUUAGUUCGAGAAUGUUGUAUGGGAUUAUGACCAAUUUUGAUAGCACUUUCAUUGUCACAAAGCAGUGGAACAUGUUUCACAUAGAUUCCAUAAUAUCUAAGAGUUUGGGUCAUCCAAAGUAAUUGAGCACAACAUGAACCAGCGGCAAUGUAUUCCGCUUCGGCGGUGGAUAGAGAUACCGAAUUUUGUUUCUUGGAGGACCAAGACACGAGAGAUCUACCAAGAAAUUGACAAGUACCCGAAGUGGACUUUCUAUCAACCUUGUCUCUGGCAUAAUCCGAGUCGGAAUAGCCAACAAGAUCAAAAGAAGACCUCUUAGGAUACCAAAUGCCAAAGUUUGGUGUAUGAAUUAAGUAUCUCACUAUCCUUUUCACGGCCUUAAGAUGACAUUCUUUAGGAGCAGCUUGAUAUCAUGGACACAUGCACACACUUAGCAUAAUAUCGGGACAUGAAGCACAUAGGUAUAACAAUGAACCAAUCAUAGAGCGAUAAACCUUUUGAUCAACCGGUUCACCGUCUUUGGUCAAAUCAUUAUGUCCACUAGUAGGCAUGGGUGUAGACAUACCUUUGCAUUCUUGCAUAUUGAACUUCUUGAAUAAGUCCUUGGUGUACUUUGUUUGAGAGACAAAUGUACCUUCCUUAGUUUUCUUGAUUUGCAAACUGAGAAAGAAUUUGAGUUCACUCAUCAUAGACAUCUCAAACUUCUCUGACAUUAGCUUUCCAAACUUUUCACUAAAGAGAGGGUUAGUUGAACCAAAUAUGAUAUCAUCAACAUAAAUUUGGCAUACAAAUAGUUCUCCAUUAACUCUCUUAGUAAAAAGAGUAGAAUCAAUUUUACUAAUUUCGAAACCACUUGCAAUAAGGAACUUGGUCAAGCAUUUAUACCAUGCUCUAGGAGCUUGUUUAAGACCAUAAAGAGCUUUGUGAAGUUUGUAAACAUGAUUAGGUUUCUUAGGAUUGACAAAGCCGGGAGGUUGUUUGACAUAAACUUCCUCCUCUAUUUCACCAUUUAGAAAAGCACUUUUAAUGUCCAUUUGGUACAAGGUGAUAUUAUGGUGAUUAGCAUAGGCAAGUAAGAUGCGAAUGGACUCAAGUCUAGCAACGGGAGCAUAUGUCUCACCAUAGUCCAUACCUUCGACUUGUGUGUACCCUUGGGCGACGAGACGUGCUUUGUUGCGAACCACUUGUCCAUCUUCAUCUUGCUUGUUGCGAAACACCCAUUUGGUACCAAUGAUGUUGUGGUUGUUGUCGGGCUUCUCAACCAAUGUCCAAACUUGGUUUCUCUCAAAGUUGUGUAGCUCUUCAUGCAUAGCGUUUAUCCAAUCCGGAUCUUCCAAUGCUUCUUCAACCUUCAGAGGUUCAAUGCUAGAGAUGAAUGAAUAGUUUUCACAAAAGUUAGCUAAACGAGUCUUUGAGCGAGUGAUUCUCCCGGUUUGUAUGUCAUUGAAGAUUUGCUCGACGGGAUGAUCUUUGGCAAUUCUUGCUCGAACUCGUGAGAGCUUUUGCUUGGGUCUUCGUUGAACAUCUUCUUCAUCUUGUUCUUCUUCUUGGCCUUCUUCAUUGUUGACGUUGUCGUUCUCUUGUCGUGGUGGAGAAGGAGGUUGUUGAUGUUCGUCUUGAUGCAUUUCCUUGUCUUCUUCAUCUUGGUGUCUCCCACUUGUGGAUGCUUCCGUGUCGAAUCUUGGUUCACCUUGUCGUGAAGUAGAAGCUUCCACUUGGACGGAUGACGUACUCUCCUUCACCUCCGUUGGACGAACUUUGCCAAUGGACAAGUCUUGGAUUGCUUCUGAAGGGUCUUUGUCUCCUACAUCAAUUGGCAAUUGCUCUACUUGUGAGCCAUUAGAUUCAUCAGACUUCACAUCUACCGUCUCUUCAACCUUUCGGGUGAAAUUGUUGUAGACACGGUAAGUGUGAGAGUUUGAGCCAUAACCGAGUAGGAAACCUUCAUGAGAUUUAGGAGCAAACUUUGAACGAUGAUGCUUAUCAAGAAUGUAGCACUUUGAGCCGAAUACUCGAAAGUAUCCCACUUGGGGUUUGUUACUGGUGAGAUCUCGUAUGCCAUCUUGCCGAGUAGCUUGUUAAGGUACAAGCGAUUUGUUGCGUGACAAGCUGUCUCAACCGCCUCUGCCCAAAAGUGCUUCGGCGUCUUGUAUUCAUCAAGCAUCGUUCUUGCCAUUUCGACGAGUGUCCGGUUCUUCCUCUCAACAACUCCAUUUUGUUGAGGUGUGUACGUAGCCGAGAACUCAUGUGAAAUCCCUUCUUCGUCAAGAAAGGUGUCCACAUUUGCGUUCUUGAACUCCGUUCCGUUGUCACUCCGAACCUUCUUGAUCUUCACGUCAAACUGAUUUUGGGCUUUCCUAGCGAAGUUUUUGAAGAUCUUCUGGACCUGCGACUUGUCAUUAAGAAAGAACACCCACGUAAAUCUUGAAAAAUCAUCAACUAUAACUAGACCAAAAGAAUUUCCACCGAGACUCUUGUAGGCGUUGGGACCAAAAAGAUCCAUAUGAAGUAGCUCGAGUGGCCUCCUUGUGGUCAUGAUGUUCUUCACGGGAUGCCUUCCUCCAACCUGUUUACCUUCUUGACAAGCACUGCAAAGUCUAUCCUUAUCAAAUAUGACAUCGUUAACUCCAAGGAUAUGAUUUCCUUUAAUAAGCUUGUCAAGGUUUCUCAUACCAACGUGACCUAGUCGUCUAUGCCACAACCAACCUUUUGAGGAUUUAGCAAUAAAGCAAGUUUUAGGUUGUGCCUUUUUAGAGAAAUCGACAAUGUAAAGAUCACCUCUACGCAUACCGGUAAAGACCAUUUUAUGAUUGUCUCGACGAAACACUUGGCAAUCUACCUCAGUAAAUAGAACAUUCAAGCCAAAAUCAGCAAGUCUAGAUACUGAAAGUAAGUUGUAGCCGAGAGAUUCAACGAGCAUGACAUUUUGAAUGGAACUAUCAUGUGAGAUGGCCACCUUACCAAGGCUAACCACUUUACCCUUUGAAUUAUCACCAAAGGUGACAUAUUUCCGAGGGCCGUCAUUUUCAGCAAGCUCACGGAACAUCUCUUCAUCUCCAGUCAUAUGAUCAGUACAUCCACUAUCAAGAACCCAUUCCUUUCCUCCUGACUCAUAUCCCCGAAGAUUUGCCGUAAGACCAAAAUGUCUCAUUGCAUCAUCAAGAUCGAAGUCACUAUCAUCAUCAUCAUAGUAUCCAUGUUCACCAUGAUCUUGUGACUCAUCAUUUCCUAGAGAAGGUAAUUCAUUAGAUAAAUGAUCAUCAAGGUGGUCACUUUUAUGAAUUCUUAUAGCUUCGAGUAUAAUAUCACUAAUGAUUCCAACAUCUCCUUUAGCAUGCUUGAGAUUGGUAAGCUCAAAUAGACAAUCACCAAAACUAGGAUCACUAGAGUUCAUUUUACUCAAGGCAAUAGAUUUAUGGAGAAUUUCAUCCAAAUUUUUCAAGGAAUGAUCGGGAAAUCGUUCCUCAAGAAAUUUCCAUAUAGUAUGGGCACAAUUAAGAGUAGGCAAACUAGCAAUCAAUUUUUUGGGCAAUCCUCUAAUGAUGAGCUCAAUAGUUCUAAGAUUGCGAAUCAUGUCAAUAUCUUCAUCUAAGGUAGGAUGCAAAGAAUCAAUAUGAGGUGCACAAGGGCUAGCAAUAUACUUGUUCAAAUGAUAUUGAUUGAAGAUUACAAGCAUCUCGUUUUUCCACUCAUGAAAAUACUCUCCAUCAAGAAUAGGCACUCUAUGUCUAAGACUCCCUAAAGUAGACACAUCCAUCUUCCUCCAAUGGUGAUUAAACCAAGGCAAUGGAGACCAAAGCUCUGAUACCACUUGUAGGACCUUGAAGUAGAUGUGUCUAGAAGGGGGGGUGAUUAGACACUUAAUGCUAAAGUUGCAUUUUUUAAGCUUUUUCAGUUUAAGUGGAGUUUUGGCAUAAUUUCAACAUUCACAAUACAUAUCAAGCAAGUAUGCAAAGAGUAUAUAGGCAGCGGAAAGUAAAGCAUGCAACUUGCAAGAAUGUAAAGGGAAGGGUUUGGAGAAUUCAAACGCAAUUGGAGACACAGAUGUUUUCCCGUGGUUCGGAUAGGUGGUGCUAUCCUACAUCCACGUUGAUGGAGACUUCAACCCACGAAGGGUAACAGUUGCGUGAGUCCACGGAGGGCUCCACCCACGAAGGGUCCACGAAGAAGCAACCUUGUCUAUCCCACCAUGGCCAUCGCCCACGAAGGACUUGCCUCACUAGCGGUAGAUCUUCACGAAGUAGGCGAUCUCCUUGCCCUUACAAACUCCUUGGUUCAACUCCACAAUCUUGUCGGAGGCUCCCAAGUGACACCUAGCCAAUCUAGGAGACACCACUCUCCAAGAAGUAACAAAUGGCGUGUUGAUGAUGAACUCCUUGCUCUUGUGCUUCGAAUGAUAGUCUCCCCAACACUCAACUCUCUCUCAUAGGAUUUGGAUCUGGUGGAAAGAAGAUUUGAGUGGAAAGCAACUUGGGGAAGGCUAGAGAUCAAGAUUCAUAUGGUUUGAAUGGAUUAUCUUGGUCUCAACACAUGAGUAGGUGGUUCUUUCUCAGAACAUAUGAGUUGGAAUGGUGUAUGUGUUCUGAUGGCUCUCUCUACGAAUGAAGAGGAGGUGGAGGGGUAUAUAUAGCCUCCACACAAAAUCCAUCCGUUACACACAGUUUUCCAAUCUCGGUGGGACCGAAUCAACAAACUCGGUCGGACCGAAAUAGUAAACCUAGUGACCAUUAGAGAUUUCGGUGGGACCGACUGGAUCAACUCGGUGGGACCGAUGUGCUAGGGUUAGGGUAAAUCCAAAACUCGGUUUGACCGAUUACACAAACUCGGUGGGACUGAUUUGGGUAAUAAGUGAAACAGAGAGUUGGCCAAGCAAACUCGGUGGGACCGAUUGCAUAUCUUGGUGGGACCGAGAAUAAUGCAAUAGGUAACAGAGAGUUUGCAAGCCCAUCUCGGUGAGACCGAGAUCCCAUCGGUGAGACCGAACUGAUUAGGGUUUCUGGCAGUGGCUAUGACAUGUGAAACUCGAUGGCGCCGGAUAGGAACAAUCGGUAGGACCGAGUUUGGCUUUAGGUUUAGGUCAUAUGUGGAAGUGGGAAAGUAGCUGAGGAUUUUGGAGCACAUCAUUAAGCACUUCAGCAAGAGGCUCAUUAAACAACACCUCAUCCCUCCUUGAUAGUAUUGGCUUUUCCUAUGGACUCAAUGUGAUCUUGGAUCACUAAAAUGUAAAAUGAAGAGUCUUGAGCUUUGAGCUUUAGCCAAUCCUUUGUCCUUAGCAUCUUGGAGAACUUCCCACAGCCUUUAGUCCAUGCCACUCCAUUGUUGAACUUAUCUGAA
rnacentral:lncRNA from 1 species